GACGAACGCUGGCGGCGUGCUUAACACAUGCAAGUCGAACGGAAAGGCCCUGCUUUUGUGGGGUGCUCGAGCGGCGAACGGGUGAGUAACACGUGAGUAACCUGCCCUUGACUUUGGGAUAACUUCAGGAAACUGGUGCUAAUACCGGAUAGGAGCUCCUGCUGCAUGGUGGGGGUUGGAAAGUUUCGGCGGUUGGGGAUGGACUCGCGGCUUAUCAGCUUGUUGGUGGGGUAGUGGCUUACCAAGGCUUUGACGGGUAGCCGGCCUGAGAGGGUGACCGGCCACAUUGGGACUGAGAUACGGCCCAGACUCCUACGGGAGGCAGCAGUGGGGAAUAUUGCACAAUGGGCGGAAGCCUGAUGCAGCAACGCCGCGUGCGGGAUGACGGCCUUCGGGUUGUAAACCGCUUUCGCCUGUGACGAAGCGUGAGUGACGGCAAUGGGUAAAGAAGCACCGGCUAACUACGUG
rnacentral:rRNA from 1 species